rnacentral:rRNA from 1 species
ACGGGAGGCAGCAGUGGGGAAUAUUGCACAAUGGGGGAAUCCCUGAUGCAGCGACGCCGCGUGAGCGAAGAAGUAUUUCGGUAUGUAAAGCUCUAUCAGCAGGGAAGAAAAUGACGGUACCUGACUAAGAAGCCCCGGCUAACUACGUGCCAGCAGCCGCGGUAAUACGUAGGGGGCAAGCGUUGUUCGGAAUCACUGGGCGUAAAGGGAGCGCAGGCGGAGAUGCAAGCGGACUGUACAAUACCGGGGCCCAACCCCGGACCUGCAGUCCGGACUGCACCUCUUGGAUAGUUCAGGGGCAAGCGGAAUUCCUGGUGUAGCGGUGGAAUGCGUAGAGAUCAGGAAGAACACCGAUGGCGAAGGCAGCUUGCUGGGGACUUAUCGACGCUCAUGCUCGAAAGUGCGGGUAGCAAACAGGAUUAGAUACCCUGGUA